GACCUUGUCCUGCUCUCUGCACUUCCCUCGCUUUCAGGGUCGCUGUCACCCCCGCUCAGUCCCUGUCCCUCUGGGCCAGAGCCUUGCCCAUCUGGACUAAUUCUGUGUCUCCCAGCCUGCCUAGCUGAGCCCUUUGAGCCCAGUCCCGGGUCCCUCUUAUCUUCCCCGGGUCUGGGAGCCGCCGCAGCCCCGAGUGCCCCCUUGCCCGCCGCCUCUGUCUCCUGCCCCGACGCGAGUGAUGGAGCCACCACUGCCGCCGCCGUUUUGGACACCCCAGAUGCCGCGCUGGCGCCGCGGACGGGUAAAACUGUCUCCGCCCCCUCCCGGGGGUUGGGUCCCCCCUCCCCCGUGUCUCUGGCUGUCGGCACGGUCGCGCUGUACCUUGAAACUGUCCCGCGCACUAGGAUUCUAACGGGGGUCCCUAAACCUCCUGCCCCCUCCCUUAUGAUUGCGGGGCACGUUCCCGAAGCCAGAGAUGAUGUCAUAGGCACCAACUGGGUCACCUCGAACCCCGAGGGGGUGGCAAUCAUCCUCCCCUUGCCCAUAGCACCCUUAAUUGGGGUUAUUGUCUGUUCUGACAUCCCAGGAGUAUAUGGUAAAGUGUGACCUGUCUCAUCAUCUCCAUCCCCUCCUGCUCUUCCCAGCAUUCCUGGAGUAGAAUGUAAUUGUUUUCCCCCUGGUGGUGAGAUUACUUUUGAGGGACUAUAAAAAUAAAAAUCAAAAUCAUCAAAAUUCUUUGGAAAAACUUCUACCUUAACUUUUCCUGAUGUUGGUGUAAAUGUAGGUAACUCCAAAUAUUUUGGUAAAUCGGACGAAUCUGUAGUAUCUCUCUAUAAGCUGCUUUGCUUUACUACUAAUUGCUGACUAGAAGCUUCUUCCCCAGUCCCUGAUAACCCCUCUAUAGCUUUCAGAGGACAUUUGCAAUGUUCCUGAAGCAACAUUACCCUAGCUGCUGUCAAAAGAUCCUUGGCCUUCGGAUCCUUUUUUGUAGCUGCAUGAUACAUAUCUCUAUUUACCUGUUCCCAGAAUUCUGGCGUGUAUAUUUUACUUGUUUUUGCGUGAGGGUAUUUGAGUCUCACCCAUACAAAUAAAUCUCUAAGUUCACUUUCUGAUACAGUAAUCAGGUGUUAGAAGCUAUAUAUUUCAUUGUAGAUAGUAUCUUUGCUUGUUCAUGACUAAAUGCACCACCCAUAUUGUUAUGUGUGUGUUCCUAUGUGUAUCUGAGAUCUCAACCAGUCUUACCAAAAAUGAGAUGCUGGGACCAAGCUGGAGCUGUCCUGGGCGUCCAGCCAGCAGAUGCACAGGGAGAGGGAUUCCACGGUUCCUCCCGUCUGGUCUGAGCCUGGCAGCUGGUUUCUGGCAGCUGUUCAAGGUCUCUCCUCCACAGUUUUCUCUCUUCAGGUAGCUUCUUCUUUCCAGGAGUUUUCUGGAUCAGAGCUCUUCUGUAUCUACCAUUGUAGAUCACAGCAGGAGCCUGGACGCCCGGGCCGACGCCCACACAGGGGACGCCAGAUGUCACUGUCUGAGGGUCUCUUUGUGCCCGAGACCACUCAGAUGGACAUAGGAGGGUGGUUCAGGGCACAAGGUAUUCUUGAAGCUGCCGAAGAGAGACUGCAGGAGACACUCGUCCGGCCUCAAACUUUCCAAUACUACAAUAUCUUAUUACUAUGUCCAGUUUUGUCCCCAACCAAUCUGUGAUUCCCAGCAUCCCCCACCAACAUGGAGAACAAGAAGAAGAAGAAGAAGAAGAAGAAGAAAGAAGACACCACACCCCAAUUCCUCCAUCUUGGCCUCAUGAUUGAUAAUAUAAACAAUCCUGAAAAUUACCUUUUCUAUAUGCUAACUAUCCAAUUCACACUCUAGUUUCCCUUAAAGGUUGCAUUUCUUCUCUGAGAGAAGGCAGAUGUUCCCAUGGAGCUGGAUCCAGCUCUCAGACCCCCCUGGCUCUAUUCGGGGGUCUCUCAGGGGUCUGACAGGGGGGUUCUCGCACCCACAGAAGGUCCAGAGGGACUCCCUGGACCCUCACAUCAUGCUGGGGAAACUCCAGGGCUUUUCUUUUUUUUCCCUCUGAACCCUUUGAACAGGCUGAGAACUCUGCCUACCAUGGCAGAGUCUGGCCUCGAUGGCACCUAGUAGAGAGAUGCCUCAGGAAAGCUGAGAGGUAACAAGUCCCACAUUUGUGCCUUGAAGACACCCACGACAGAGAAACCUCAGGAAGGCUGCAGGACAGCAAGUCCUGCACUCUGGUCUUGAGGGCUCCUGCCACAAGGACAGGAGCCUCCUCUAAGUUAUUCAGGUUACCAAGUCCCGCGACUGCACCUGCUGCGAGUGCACCUGCAAAAGAAAAUCCUCGGGAAGGCUACAGGACACCAAGUCCCACGGUCUUGCCACGAGGUCACCUGCAGGAAUAACGCCUCAGAAGUGCUCCGGGUUAGACACAAACGAGUGUGCUGUGCGGGGGCUCCUCACAGCACUGCUCUGGCGCGUCCUGUCCCGUCGCGGGCUCCGAGCACUGUGCCGUGGCCGUGUCACUGCCAGCUCCUAAGUCACCACACGUCACAAGGAGUCCUUGGACACCGUUCCAUGCCACGGUGACCAGGCUGCACCAUGUCACAAAGGGCCCUUGCACACACUGCCACCUGCCCUGGGGCCACCCUCAGCCCACCCAGAGUGGCCCAGGUUGGAAGUGCUCAAGUGUCUAAGACAGCAUGACAGGAAUGUUAGGAAUUGCUCAAAUCAUCAGUGAAUGCUGUCCUGCUCUGUGGGCUCAAGGCAUUUAAGAAUCCUCGUUCCAGGAAACCUUUCCUUCCCAAUUGCUCAACUCAAGUAGUUUCAAAAAGUUGCAAACUUCCCAAAUUAAUUGUCAUAGCCUGAGAAUGUGAUAGAUUUGGGAGCUUGCGUCCCAUCUCAAAGCAGCAGUGUUUGCCUUAACGUCAUCCAUUGAGAGUCAUUUUACAAAACAGAACUACACAGAGGCAAAAAAAAAAAAGGCAAUUCUUUGGUUUGCAAAUGGUUUCCAAUGAAGAGAUGAUAACAUCCUAAUUCUAUGAAGGAAUAAAAGCUCGCAAGAAAUGCAAGUCCACUCAGUGUUACGCAAAUGGCCCAAACAAAUGAGUAGAUUACAAAAUGGCUAAUCCUCCUCCUGCUACAGAUAUCUAAAUGGCUUAUAAAGUACAGCUCUCCCUCUUCUUCCCUGGGGAGAAUCAGGACCAUGAACAGAAAAAAUCACAGCUAUUCCUUCGGCCCUGCAUAACCAAAGCCAUUCCAAACCACAGA